GACGAACGCUGGCGGCGUGCUUAACACAUGCAAGUCGAACGGAAAGGCCCUGCUUUUGUGGGGUGCUCGAGUGGCGAACGGGUGAGUAACACGUGAGUAACCUGCCCUUGACUUUGGGAUAACUUCAGGAAACUGGGGCUAAUACCGGAUAGGAGCUCCUGCUGCAUGGUGGGGGUUGGAAAGUUUCGGCGGUUGGGGAUGGACUCGCGGCUUAUCAGCUUGUUGGUGGGGUAGUGGCUUACCAAGGCUUUGACGGGUAGCCGGCCUGAGAGGGUGACCGGGCCAAAUGGGGACGGGGGAAGGGCCAAGACCCUUACGGAGGGAAGAGGGGGGAAAAAUGGAAAAAGGGGCGGAGGCCUGAGGCGGAAAGGCGGCGUGGGGAAUGACGGCCUUCGGGUGGAAAACCGCUUUGGCCUGGGACGAGGCGGGAGGAACGGUAAGGGGAAAAGAAGAACCGGCAAAUUAGGU
rnacentral:rRNA from 1 species